GUGUGAAAUACAAAAGGCAUUUGAUUCGUCUAGGAAUUCAAAUGCCUCAACGAAUGAUGGAUCACUAAUGAAAAGAGAGGAGAAUGUGUCUUCAAAGAGAGAUGAAUAUCAAGAUGAUGAAAACUUCAGAGCUUACGACGAAAUGUGCUACUUCCCAAAAGUAUGGAGAAAUAAGCUGUGGAAAAUAUGUGUCUAUCUUGUUACCAUGGGUAUGUUAAUAGCUUUGCUAAUGGGUCUGAACAUGUCUUGGACUGCUAUCACUGCAGCACUUGCGCUCGUGGUUCUUGAUUUCAAAGAUGCCAGACCUAGCUUAGAAAAGGUUUCGUAUUCGCUUUUGAUAUUCUUCUGUGGUAUGUUUAUCACGGUUGACGGCUUUAACAAAACUGGGAUUCCAAGUGCUCUUUGGGAUUUUAUGGAGCCAUAUUCCAAGAUAGAUCAUGCUGCAGGCAUAGCAGUUCUUGCACUUGUCAUUCUGGUCCUGUCAAAUGUGGCUUCAAAUGUGCCUACUGUAUUGCUGCUCGGAGGACGAGUUGCUGCAUCAGCAGCUGCAAUAUCUCCUGAGAGUGAGCAGAAAGCGUGGCUCAUAUUAGCAUGGGUCAGCACCGUGGCAGGGAACCUUUCACUCUUAGGCUCAGCAGCAAACUUAAUAGUGUGUGAACAGGCUCGUCGGGCUCAACACUUUGGCUACAAUCUCUCCUUCUGGAGUCAUCUCAAAUUUGGAGUUCCGUCUACCCUCAUUGUUACAGGCAUUGGUUUGAUGCUCAUUCGAGGAUGACACGUUUUUCAGUCCCCGUUACUGUGUUUUUGAAUCGACAACUAUCAUUCUUGUCUUGUGCAAGUCUUAUGGACAGUCUGGUAUGCAUGGGGUCUAGAAAAGGGCUACAUUACAAGGGUCUAUUGUACGUAGUCUUAUCAUGCAUCUGUUGUUUCCUCAGGUUGAACUUUUGACCUCGUGAUCACAUUACCAAUUCUCUUCGAUCAUCCAGAUCUCAUAAAUCCAACAUCUAUAUAUAUAUAUAUGUAUUGUUUUACCUGAGGUCUGCAUACUUUUAUGUUAGUG
rnacentral:misc_RNA from 1 species